GGACGACCAGGGCGCCUGCGAAGAUGAUGCCAUCUGGGAGAGCUCCCGCUCUUCCUGCUCGCCGGACACGGAGGACCAGGGCGCCUGCGAAGAGGAUUCCAUCUGAGAGAGACGUUGCAUGGUUUCGGGUCUGACAUUCAAGUGAAAGCCGAGGGAGGAGGCUGCAGUUCCCCGAGAGCGAGCGUAGCGGGGACCCUGCGUCCCUGUCAGCGCACCUUCCCGCUGCGCGAAGGUCCGAAGCGUGUGGGCGGGGCCGCAGGAGUUCUCCCAGGAGGGUGUCCCCGUCGCUGUCCGCAGUCCACCGCCGGAGGGGGGGGCGGGGCAACGGCCGGGCAGCGUCUGGGCGGCGGCGCGCGCGCGCGAGGAGAGGAGAGGAGAGGAGCGCGCGGCUGCUGGGCCGCCGUCCUGGGAGGCGUGGGAGGCGUCGGCGAGCCGCGCCUGCCUGCCCAGAGCCGAGCCCGGCGGAGUCCGGCCGCGCUGUGCUGCUCUCUCCCGGGCCGGGCUCGUCCGUUCCCCCGGCGUCCGUGGACGCCGCUCCGCGUCCCCGCUGGGCACAGCAGCCCGGGCCCUCCACAGCCACGGC
rnacentral:lncRNA from 1 species